GGGGAAACAGACACACACGAAACACAUAAGACAGACAAAGGCGCCCACGUGGAGAAAAGAUGGAAAAAAACUCAGCGACUCUCCGGUGCUGGCCUGGAAUUUUAACUAAAGAGGCGUUUCCCUAUUUAAUAUAUGCAAAGAAGGCGUUCUGUUUGACCAAUCAGGGACCUGUUUCGGCCCCCCAGAGAACCCCGGAAACUCCCCUCAUUACAGCCCCGAUGUCUGGUUUUUGUCUAGGCAAAAAGGGGGGGGGACCACUUCGUCUUAGGCCGUGCCAGGUACGGGGAGAGGCGCCAAAGAGUCUCCUGCUCUAUCGGAAUGUAAAUUUUAUUGCUGUGUCUGUCGCCUGGCCUCACAGUGGGAGUCCCAUUGAGAGAUCUCCCUUAAUCAGCAUUUGGUUCCUGUGUCUCUGAAUGCUUACCCAUCUGGUUUAAUUUUAAAUGCCUAACACAACCCUGUUCAAAAUAAGAGUGUUCCAUAUACCUUUUAAGAUUAACUGUAUUAAGCAUUAAAAUAAUCAUAUUUCCUAACAGGUAUAAUGGUCAGUAAGUAUCUGCAGGUCUCUGCUCCCACAUCACGCUGCACCAAGACACAGGCAGUAAAUACACUGCUGUCAUUGAGGAACAAUUCAUUUGUGUAUUUUCGCCGCACAUGAGAAGUCCCGUCUUCAAAUACUACUAUACUAACAUGUCGCCAACAUAUGAAAUGACUGACGUGUUUUCUGUUGUUUGCCUGUUAGCUCCGUUAGCUCCCUUAACAUGGCUGCUAGAGUCGGUCUCUGCCGCGGUUUGUUUAAAAACAAAAUGAUCCGAUCUCCAGAUUACCUGCAUGCCUGCGUACGUGUGUCUCUGUUGUUAAAGUUUAGCGUUACUUCUCAGAGUUUUAUUUUUACAAUCGGGACUCUGAAGACUCAUGUAAAUUCGACGUGUCGCACGUCUUUUCCGGUCAGUCGUCAUGGAAACAGGACGCUCAUCUAGCGUGCUGAUGUGGACCAGAGUGGAAACAAACAUGUUGUAAAAUGAAAACAAAGUACCACUGUAUCCAACCUUAUGUGUGUAAACACCCACUGUUGCUGCACCUAAUUUUUUUAAAGGAAUUGUGUGUUCAAGUAAAACAUUUUAGAAUUGAUUUUAUAUUAUAUUGGGUAUUGUUAAAACGUCAGUGCUUAAUAAAUAUUUUCAGAAUCUUGUAAUAUUGUUUAUGAAGCAUAUUAUAUCUAUGAAUAUGAUCUAUGAAGCUAAUUCUAUGAAGAAUGAAUAUUAAUCUAUGCAAUUGCAUUGCCUUUAUUUUAAUGAGGUAAGUACAGUUAUUUCUGCACAACAGACCCUUGUCAGACAGACAGACCGCUUUGAUCAGAGGAGCACAGAGAAACUGCAAAAAUAUUUACCUUAUGUUUAGUUUCUACCUUCAUUAAAGAGCCUCAGACUAAUUGUGACGUUAGAUAAAUGACUUGUAACUUGUUGGUUGUUAAAGGGAGAGUGGAGGCUCAAUUCCACAUCAUGGUUUAAAACCAAACCUGCAUGAUCAGAACCUUGGACCCGGUGUCACAGCUCUCGUCUCUGCGGCAUCACAAUUCUGGGCCCCGUAAAGCAUAAUCUCUUGUUUAUGAGGUUGUUCAUGAGGUUAACAUGAAGAUAAUAACCUCUGAACUAUACAUUAGCCCUUAUAUAUUUCUUCUCCCAGGUACAUGUCUGAUCAUUUCUUUUUCUCUUAUUUCUGUUGCAGCCAGAGUCUUUGUAUGUGGACACUUAGUAUUUGCCCUCUCUUCAGUUCCUCUUGUCUGUCCUCCACAAGCAGGGACUCACUGAUAGACCACUCUGCUUCCAGUUUUGGGGCUGACACACUCUCCCACGUCCUCACACCCAGUGUAUCCUGUACAGAUCAAGGAAGAGUUCAGACGUAUCACGACAGUUUCCUUGGAGGAGACAUUCAUGCUAAAGCUUGAUGAGUACACACCAAGUCUUAUGCAGCUUAUGCGUGCUAAAGGAGGGGCUGCUGGUUCUAAGAUGCACCCUCUGUUGGACACUUUAUUUAACUUUUUUUCCACAAAUAUGUCAUUAUUGAUAUACGUGAAUUAAAAGUGAAUUAAUUUGUAAAGAAUUGCUUUGUUGUGCACAAAGUUGAGCUCCUUACCAACUUAAACUACCCUUUGGUUUUUAAGCAAUUCGGUGUUAGUGUAUGUAAUUCUCUCCCCACUCUCCACUAACAGUCUUUUCACUAAAUUGUAUAUCCCUACAGACAGAGCAUUGAGAAAAAUAGGGAUGCAGUUGUCUGCUGCCUCAUUAACUACCUUGGUGAAAGACAAGAAGAUCUUUUCCAUGACUGCCAGGAAUGUGAGGACUACACAGACAAAACAAUGAAGGUGAUCGUGAUGCACAACAUCAUGGCUGAGGAGGAUCCAUCAGAUGUGUCGAUUGUGAUUGAGAGAAACCAAGUGAUGGAAGGAUGUGGAAGCCGAACAAAGGCGUGUGUACUGCUGAUGGGACUGAUAUAUGCCCUCAACCAUGACUAUCCAAAGCAGCUCAAGAACACAUUUGAAGCUUUUCAAAAAAAAUUUUUGGAACUUGAUGGGGCAAAACUACUGAAGAAGAUCCACAGCCUCAAAAACAAGCUCAUGCAAUAGACAUACAUUUCCCCUCUUAUUCCAAGAGGAUCUUUUGUCUGGACAGAGAGUUUUGAUGGAGUAUAGUUUUAUAUUUUUGUUCUCUUCCCUCCUCUGCUCCACACACAGAAAUAUAUGUACAGAUGGAUACAUAAGUAUGUUGCAGCCUCUCUCAGUUUUUUGUUGUGUAUAAAUACACCUGCAGAUUUCAGAUUUGCUCAGUCACUGUUGUGUGAGGCCGAAGAAACACAAGUAAGAGUUUAGAUACAAGAAAAUCUUCAUAUGAUUGGACAUCCCUUGCACCUCUGCUCUGAUCACCUCACUUCUCCUUUUCUCUGAUCAACUCCUU